rnacentral:lncRNA from 1 species
GGGGAGGCUCCCUUGCCUGGUUUCUUAGAUUGCUUCUGUUGCCUUUUGGCAGCCUGGGCCCUGUGGCUGUUUUAGCUGCAGGUGAUGCAACCCCAGCAGCUGGACUUGAGGCUGUCUCUGCACAGAGCAGCAGGUGAACAGCCCUGUGGAGCCCCCGCCCCGCCAUGCAGCAACUGCUCCAGCCUCACAGCUGGCUCCCUCAGGAAGGCCUUCACUGGCAUUCCUACAUCCCUGGAGGAGGGACCUGCAGUGGCUCCACCACACUGAGUAGACCAUGCCGGAGGACACGCCAUGAAAGGAUAUUUCUGUGGCGGUAAUCACUGCUCCUCACUUUUCUCUCCUGUUAAAAGGAAAAC